AUCCAUGGAAGGCAGCAGGCGCGCAAAUUACCCAAUCUCGAAACGAGGAGGUAGUGACGAAAAAUAUCAGUGCGGGGUUCAUCGAAUGCCCGCUACUGAAAUGAGCGCAAUGUAAGCAUUUGCGCGAGGAUCCAUUGGAGGGCAA
rnacentral:rRNA from 1 species